UGACGUCCCGCCUGGCGCGCCUGGCUGUUGCCUGGAGACGGGGUGAAACAGUCCGGCCCCAGGGAAGAAAGGGGUGAAAGUGGGGGGUAGCAGCAGGAGGAGCCCUUGGGGAGUGGCCUGCGAAGACUUCCCACUCCCACAACCCAGGGUGAAGGGAUGGGGUCCCCAAAACUGCUCUCCAGAGAUCACAGCUGAACUCCAGGGUCGCUCUGGAGCAAUUAGCAGGUUUGCCAAUUCACAACUGGGGAAAAUGGCCAACUUUUGGCCUCUAAAAUAUUAGAUGCUUCAUGCUUCGUUUUUCUGCCUUAAAAUGUUGUUCCUGCCGCUUGCACACACGCUGACAAGUUUAAGUGUGUAUGUGGACAGUUGUCAGUCACCUGCACAUGUGCCCGUGGGAGCCAAGUCCUGUGCCGGGAUAGAAGAACCUGAUCCCCUGCCCUGGUGGUCUCCGGGAUGGAGGAAACCAAGGAGCUGUUAUCAGAAAUGUAAAAUAUGCAAACACACACACACAAGUGUACUUAAAACGAAGUCUGAAGUAGGAUGUUUUCGAGAAUAUUUUGCUUUAGGCAGCAGGACUCUGUGCUCAGAGUCUUAGAAGAACGGGAAACACUUUCUUCUGCAAACAUCGGACGCCAUCUGGGAGGCUGUGCUAUUGUUUAACUUCACAGAGGCUGAUCUGAGAGAGCAGACCGGAGCGCCAGCACAGGAGCGCCAGCACAGGAAAGGAAAACGGGAACUCUCCCAUCCAUCUUGCAUAACCAGCUUCGUAUCAGUUUGCGCUGUGUCCCCCUGAGAGGCAGUGUGUAACUGUGCUCAAACCUCAAGAAUCCUAUUUCAUGUGUGAAGAUGUGUUUGUCUUUCAAGAAAUAAGCUCUUGGAAACCCAAGCUGCCUGGGCUCCUGAGGGCUGUCCUGCCAUCAGGCCCUGGAAGGAAACCCUGAGUACCUGCUUGGCCUUGGCUCCAUACUGCCCUCUUCAGAGCUAAAACGGUAUUCUCUUGCA